rnacentral:misc_RNA from 1 species
UACGGAGGGUGCAAGCGUUAUCCGGAUUUACUGGGUUUAAAGGGUGCGCAGGCGGGUCUUCAAGUCAGAGGUGAAAGCCCGGAGCUCAACUCCGGAAUUGCCUUUGAUACUGUUGACCUUGAGUACGGUUGAGGUAGGCGGAAUACAGCAUGUAGCGGUGAAAUGCAUAGAUAUGCUGUAGAACACCAAUUGCGAAGGCAGCUUACUAAGCCGUUACUGACGCUCAGGCACGAAAGCGUGGGGAGCGAACAGG